rnacentral:lncRNA from 1 species
GCAGAGAAAAAUGAAAGUGACACAGUAAGAAUGGAUGCAUUGUUCUCUGUUCAUUGCCUCACUUGGCAUACCAUUCAAUUCCGGGUUGUUACUUUUUUAGUUGCUUUCAAUCUUUACCAUGAAAUCAAGUUGUGUCCUCUUUUAUCUCCUUUAGACAGAUAGACGUUUCAGCAGUGUGUUCCAUUCAGCCGGGAGAUAAUCUUUCCUACAGUUUAAUGGGAGCUAUUGUAAGUAGGACCAAAAACAUACUAGUACUUCAACUUUAAUUCUUUUGGAGGAGCGGUGGCCCUAGCAGUACAAAGAAAAGUGUAAUGAAACUUUCGCAACUAACCGUUUUCAUUGAAAUUGUCAUUUUAGUUACGUGAAGGUCAGACCAGCAUUUCAGGCCAUUGUAAGUAAAGUUCAUUACAAUUUAUAACCAUAAUUGUUACCGGCAAUUUGAAAAAAUAAUUUGACCUAUGCGAAACUGACUAUUCCACUUUAUCACUUUAUGUCUGCAUGUAUAGACACCUCGCUAUUGAAGCUCCAGGGAUGCUGGCACUUAUUCGACGAUGAACGCAUUUCAAAAGUUAACGACACUAAUGCGGCAGCGGAGCUGGAAGUAUGUUGUGAUAAUUCCUACAGUGUCUAUGUUACUCUAGUAUUUGACUCUUUAGAAAUGUUGUAAUGAGUUGUUCGUUAUAACGCACUGUCGUACAUUUAACAGCGAAGCGCAUAUUUGCUGUUCUUCGAGAAGAAAACGGAAGUCAAACCACUUUCCAGUCAGAAGCCAAUCUGCAAAUACUCUCCAAUGGAGAAAGGCAAGUGCAUCAUGAGAAUAGUACUGUUAGUGUACAUUUCACAUCGCUAGUCACGGUUGGUUUCUAUCAUUUAAAAUGCGUUUGACCUUAUUUUUAGCCUCAGAAGUUUCUUGCGAAACAAAUACAUUUGGGCAAGCAGUGGACAGUUCUUCCACGGGGGUUGGCGCAAGCUUUGUAAUCUCUUGUUUCUUCUGUGAUAUCUACGUGUAAUGUAUGGUGGUUCCACAUCCCGUAUCAUAGGAAAUAUUUAUUGUGUUCAGUCGAAUUAAAACCAACCAAAUUACUCCUCUUUAUUGUCACUCUCACACAGGUCAAAACCGACGAUGGCAUAUGUUGCUUGAAUCAAAUCAUGAUCGAUGAGGUAAGUUUCUAAGUGUUGUGGCCUCGAGUAAAGUUAGUUUUACGGCAGUUGAAUGCCAUUUAACGGAGUUAACAACAAAGAGAGAAUGCGUUCCCAUAGUUGUCAGCGGUGUCUUGAUAUGUCCAUGCACCAGGAUUCGGUGAGCUCCUGGACCGAGAUGUGUUGACAGCCUCCACAACCGUAGCGUUUACAGUGAGCGUCGUUUUGCAUGAGAGCACAACUUCAAGCAUUGCCCCUCCCUUCCCUCCCUCUUUCCACUGUUAAUUCAGUGUGACGGGUGCCUGUCCACUCUUCCGCGUGGGGGCUAAUCGCUCAGUUUCCUGACCAGCCAUGGGAGCGUUUUCCAUCUAAGAGCUGGCUACCAAUAGUGGAAACUCCUGGAUGUUUCAAGCACACGACCGCCAUUUAGCGAUGCAGUUGUUAACCAGUAGAUAAGUCGCCUCUCUCCUGUUUAAUACUAGGUGAACAAAGUGGCGUUUAACGAGGCAGACGACACCGCAACCCUUGUCAAUACGAGUGGUAGACCAGUUCGAAACUUCUCAUAUGAGGAAAUAAGGCGUCUGAUUGGGAAAUCUGGCACCACGAGAGAGCUCAACAAAUUCGUAAGCGUUUUUUCUUUUUUUUUUUUGCUGCCCAUUUCUUUCUUGUGAAUUUCACAAUGACGGUUAUUAUGAUUAUUCCAUGUUAUUCCAUGUUAGGUAAUCAACGGUUACUUGGAAUUGCUCAUAAACGACUACAACCAAUUCAGGGACGAGGACACAUGUACAGGAAAGUGUGCGCUGGUGACUAGUAACGAUUUCUCAGAAUUGAGAAAGAGUGUACUUGAAGAGAAGACUCCCUUAAUUGACAAAGGAGGGAUAGCGAAACUUCAUUUUCAUAAAUGUAUUAGUUUCCGUUGGAAUAACUAAGCCAUGCAGUAAAAUGUUUUCAAUUAUCGUUAAAGGUUACGUGUGCCGAGGGACCAAAGGACGCAGGUCAUGUAUUUGUUGCGGUGCAUUUACCUGGGCCUCCAGGGCACUGGUGCUUACUCGUAAGGACGACAGAAUUUUUAACUUUCUUUCUUUUUACGUAAUUCUGUAUUAACAUCUGUUCUCUUUUAACAUAUUCAAAUGCCAUAGCAUUACAAGAACAAAUUAUUACAGGAAACGGAAAAUCAAAGAAAAAUUCAGUGAAUGAUCGUAGAAAAUUCCGAACGUGUUUAGACACGCAUAUGUAACGCUACUCUUUCUCAUAAAGUGUAAUUGGAAGUGAUAGUCGGAAAUAUCAAAUGGCUACACUGUGGCAAGGGGUGGCAAGUCUGGUAGCACCACAGCCUGAAUUGCCCACUAAUGGGAAAUGAAAGAAAAAAAAAUUAAUAACCCCUGUUUCGUUUAACCUUUCAGUAUAUCAACAGGAAGAAAAACGCAUGGUGUACUUGGACUCCUUGGGAAUUGGAGCGCAAUCUUAGGAAACUUUCCGUGUCGCUCGGGAACUUACAUUGCUAUAAAAGUUACAAGAUCUACUACUUUACCAGUUUGGCUGAGGUGUCUAUCUGUCUGUCUGUCUGUCUGUCUGUCUGCCUUUAUGUCUGUCUGUCCGGCUAUAAAUGGUUGGGGUCGUUAAAAUCGCAAUUCACCUUGAAAGCUUUUAUGGCCUAGCUAGUGACAAUCUCUUUAAGUCGAAAAUAGCAACGAUAUUUAAAAUUAUGACGUCAUUUUAGAUGUUUGACUCAAAUCGGACGUAACAAGAAUGGCGAAGAUUCCGAAUGGAACGCCUGGAGACUUGAAAAACUUACGGUGAGGAUUUCACUGCUAUACGUUGCUCUUCUUAAAUUACUUUAGUGAACGUAAGUGUCUGUGAAGGAGUUCAAACCACAACAGACAAACAGUCUGACAAAUAGGAUUUUUUUUUUCUGUCCAUACAGGACAAAGACAUAUUGCCAAUUCAAGAAACAAACACUGACUGUGGAGUUUUCGUAUGCAUGUAUGCAUUGUGUAUAGUCCUGGGAGGAGUAUUUCAAUUCUCGCAGGUAGAAGCCGAAAGAAUUUUCUUGUUUAAGUAGAACCUUACUCGCCCAGUUUCUCUAAUAUACUUAACAAUUCAAGUCUAAGAAAGUAUUUUUAGGAAGCGGAAUAGCGAACUUCACCAAUUUACAUCCUUUACAACGCAACUUUUGCCAACAGGCAAAUGUAAAAACAGUAAGGAUGCAAAUGGCCUAUGAGAUCCUGGAGGGAAGGAUAUCGUGAGUAUAAAUUCCUUUAACUUCAAGCAGGACAAAAGAACAUAGUACGAUCUAGUAUGUAAAGUUGAAAUAAGACUAUUUGUUUACUUGUACAUUAUAAAUCAACAUGCCACGAUAUAACGUAACGAGCUCAAAUCUUAUGUUACAGCUUUACGAAUCUCGCACGAU